rnacentral:misc_RNA from 1 species
CUUGUUGGGUUCUUCAUAGUUAGAAAGGUAAGACUAGUUAUAUCUGUUGCAAUAUAUAUUUGCUACGUGCUAGUGCAUCUCAAAUGGUUGUGAAACUUGUUUGCACACACUGCUGGAGUUAUAUGAUGGUCAAAGUCGUCAAAUCCACAUUCCUUCAAACUGGUUCUUUUUUGCUGUUUUCUAUGAAAGGUUCAAUUGUUUAAGAGCUUUCCAAGUUUUCUUAAAAUCUUGAUGUGGGUCAUUUCGGACAGAUUGACACGAACGAGGUGUUGUUCAAUUACCUAGUAUCUCCAGGUAAAUCUUGUAGGCUGCAGUCGAUGGCUGUGUAGAAGUAGGUUUUAAUGUAUUACGAAGACAUCUAGUUAUAUGUUUGUUCUUCUUGUUAUGUUAAUUGUAAACAGCAAUGUUAAUUUAGCUGUGUUUCUA